UACGUAGGGUCCGAGCGUUGUCCGGAAUUACUGGGCGUAAAGCGCGCGUAGGCGGCUUUGUUAGUUAGAGGUGAAAGCCCAGGGCUCAACCCUGGAAUUGCCUUUAAGACUGCAUCGCUUGAACAUCGGAGAGGUAAGUGGAAUUCCGAGUGUAGAGGUGAAAUUCGUAGAUAUUCGGAAGAACACCAGUGGCGAAGGCGACUUACUGGACGAUUGUUGACGCUGAGGUGCGAAAGCGUGGGGAGCAAACAGG
rnacentral:rRNA from 1 species